CACCGCAAGUCAGAGCCGUAAAUCAGUUGGCCAUAGUUUCACCCACAAAACCAGGUGACAGAUGAUAGGUGGAGGCGGCGCAGCGUCAUUGAGAGCGCCCAAAAUCACUUGAGAGCCAAAGCAGCUAAUUAAAAGCCCGACUCCAGCAACAACACAUGUUCCAACAUGUUGUAGCAAUCAAGUGAUUCCACAACAAUUACCCGAAUCUAUGCCCUGCGGCGAAGUCCGCCCGCUAGCCCUUGGGAUUGGGAGUGAGUUCGAAAGUAUGUAAGUUGUGUGGAACGAAGUGGUCCCCCCGACCAUAAUAAAUGCUUCAUCAUCUCUAACUCUGUGCGAUUGGAAGCUAGAAUAUGUAUGCGAUUACAUAUAUACCUUUUAAAUUCCUCUGGGUAGUUAUGUUU
ensembl:ncRNA lncRNA:CR45274 long non-coding RNA:CR45274